rnacentral:tRNA from 1 species
GGAUCUGUGGCGCAAUGGAUAGCGCGUUGGACUUCUAAUUCAAAGGUUGUGGGUUCGAGUCCCACCUAGAGUCG